rnacentral:sRNA from 12 species
CUCAGCCAUACUCUAACGAGUGUUGCUGAGCCACACGCCAAUUUAUUAGCGCAUCAUUUAGAUUUAUUUUAAGCCAUAAAAUACAAUCGCAACAUUAAGUAAGGUUAAUUUUUCCUUACGAGAAAAAAUUAAUUGCAAUAAAAAAUAUUUACAACGAAAUAUGAAGCGACAGUGGAAGGUUCAGAAAUGAACUUUUUGAAAUGAUAAACUGGCUAUAUCUU